rnacentral:rRNA from 1 species
UACAGAGGUCUCAAGCGUUGUUCGGAUUCAUUGGGCGUAAAGGGUGCGUAGGUGGCGGGGUAAGUCAGGUGUGAAAUUUCGGAGCUUAACUCCGAAACUGCAUUUGAUACUGCCUUGCUUGAGGACUGGAGAGGAGACUGGAAUUCCUGGUGUAGCGGUGAAAUGCGCAGAUAUCAGGAGGAACACCGGUGGCGAAGGCGGGUCUCUGGGCCGUAACUGACGCUGAGGAGCGAAAGCGUGGGGAGCGAACAGG